UACGGGGGGGGCAAGCGUUGUUCGGAAUUACUGGGCGUAAAGGGCUCGUAGGCGGCCAACUAAGUCGGAUGUGAAAUCCCCAGGCUUAACCUGGGAACUGCAUCCGAUACUGGAUGGCUUGAAUCCGGGAGAGGGAUGCAGAAUUCCAGGUGUAGCGGUGAAAUGCGUAGAUAUCUGGAGGAAUACCGGUGGCGAAGGCGGCAUCCUGGGCCGGCAUUGACGCUGAGUGAGCGAAAGCCAGGGGAGCAAACGGG
rnacentral:rRNA from 1 species